UGAUACGCGAGGAACCGUUACCUGGGCUCAAAUGUAUGUUGUACGUAUUACUGAAAGGGAUACUUCUUCGGACAAUAUACAAGGUGCUGCAUGGUUGUCGUCAGCUCGUGCCGUGAGGUGUCGGGUUAAGUCCCAUAACGAGCGCAACCCUAUCAUUAGUUGCCAUCAGGUCAAGCUGGGGACUCUAAUGAAACUGCCUACGCAAGUAGUGAGGAAGGUGGGGAUGACGUCAAAUCAGCACGGCCCUUACGUCCAGGGCUACACACGUGCUACAAUGGCCGGUACAAAGGGCAGCUACCUGGUGACAGGAUGCUAAUCUCAAAAGCCGGUCUCAGUUCGGAUCGGAGUCUGCAACCCGACUCCGUGAAGCUGGAAUCGCUAGUAAUCGCGCAUCAGCCAUGGCGCGGUGAAUACGUUCCCGGGCCUU
rnacentral:rRNA from 1 species